GACGAACGCUGGCGGCGUGCUUAACACAUGCAAGUCGAACGGAAAGGCCCUGCUUUUGUGGGGUGCUCGAGUGGCGAACGGGUGAGUAACACGUGAGUAACCUGCCCUUGACUGUGGGAUAAAUUUAGGAAACUGGGGCUAAUACCGGAUAGGAGCUCCUGAUGCAUGGUGGGGGUUGGAAAGUUUCGGCGGUUGGGGUUGGACUCGCGGUGGAGCAGCUUGUUGAUGGGGUAGUGGCUUACCAAGGUUUUGACGGGUAGCCGGCCUGGGAGGGUGACGGGGCACGUUGGGACAGGGGUGGCGCCCAGACUGCUUCGGGAGGCAGGAGUGGGGAAUUUUGCCAGAUGGGCCGAAGGCGUAAGGAAGAACGCCGGGUGGGGGAAGUCGGGCUUUGGGUUGGAAAACGCUUUUGCCUGUGAAGGAGCGUGGGUGGCGGAAAUUGGUAAAGAAGCACCGGCUAACUAGGU
rnacentral:rRNA from 1 species